GAUCCAGACAGAGAAUCGAAGGCGAUUCAGAAAAAUCAAUCCAUAGUUCCAGACCCAAUUCAUCUUCAAGAUUUGUAAUUUAUUCCUUCAAAUUCUUCACCGGAAUAUCCAAUUUUGCGAAUCUGAGUAAUGGGUUUUCUCUAAAAUCCCCGAUUAAUCAUGGGUUCCUCUUCAAGUCUCGUCCUUUCAGUGUUUAAGCUGCUGCUGAGAAGACAAUUCACAAUUUCACUGUUAAGGACAUUGAUGGGAUGAUGUUGCUUUGAACAAAUUCAAGGGGAAAGUUAUGUUGAUCGUCAAUGUCGCUUCAAGAUGUGGUCUCACAUCAUCAAAUUACUCAUCAGAGCUAUCACAUCUGUAUGAAAAAUACAAGAGCCAAGGUGAGCUCUAAUUCUAUAGAUCCGUGUAUCUAUCAUUCUUUGUGUCAAUCAAUAUGUUUCGUUCCUAUUCUUGCUACUGUCAUUCCUUGUAUAGAAACUUUUUGCUGCAUUUGGUCUGACAUUUACUUGAAUGUGCAGGUUUCUAAAAUACUUUCAUGACUAGCAAUUCAUCUAGUGUCUUGUCUUUUUUUUUGGGUCCAUUACUAGUUUUCUCCAUGAGUCUUUCUCUCUUUGCCUCUAUGAUCUAGUUC